CGCGUAGGCGGUCGGUCAAGUCUGGGGUGAAAUCUUUCGGCUCAACCGGAAACGUGCCUCGGAUACUGACUGGCUGGAGGGAGGUAGGGGUCGACGGAACUUCCGGUGGAGCGGUGAAAUGCGUAGAUAUCGGAAGGAACACCGGUGGCGAAAGCGGUCGACUGGACCUUUUCUGACGCUGAGGCGCGAAAGCCAGGGGAGCAAACGG
rnacentral:rRNA from 1 species